GCAGGGGUAGCCAAGCCUGGUCAACGGCGCUAGAUUGAGGGUCUAGUCCUUAGUGGUCCCUGGGUUCAAAUCCCAGCCCCUGCA
rnacentral:tRNA from 2 species